rnacentral:rRNA from 1 species
GAUGAACGCUGGCGGCGUGCCUAAUACAUGCAAGUCGAGCGAACAGACGAGGAGCUUGCUCCUCUGACGUUAGCGGCGGACGGGUGAGUAACACGUGGAGAACCUACCUAUAAGACUGGGAUAACUUCGGGAAACCGGAGCUAAUACCGGAUAAUAUAUUGAACCGCAUGGUUCAAUAGGGAAAGAAGGUUUUGCUUUCACUUAUAGAUGGAUCCGCGCCGCAUUAGCUAGUUGGUAAGGUAACGGCUUACCAAGGCAACGAUGCGUAGCCGACCUGAGAGGGUGAUCGGCCACACUGGAACUGAGACACGGUCCAGACUCCUACGGGAGGCAGCAGUAGGGAAUCUUCCGCAAUGGGCGAAAGCCUGACGGAGCAACGCCGCGUGAGUGAUGAAGGUCUUCGGAUCGUAAAACUCUGUUAUUAGGGAAGAACAAAUGUGUAAGUAACUAUGCACGUCUUGACGGUACCUAAUCAGAAAGCCACGGCUAACUACGUG